rnacentral:misc_RNA from 1 species
UCAGCUGAUCAAAAGCAGUGUUGGCAAUGCCAUCAGUAUUUUAAGAAAUCUCUCGUAAUAAACUACUACAUUGUGUGCGUGUUUUCCUAAAAAAUUUUCUGUGACCAAUCGGUUAAGUGCAUUAAUAUUUAUUAAAACACGAUUUGAUAUCAAAAUUUAAUGUAACAGAAAAUGUGUUGAAAUCUAAAGAAAAAGUGUGUUCUGCGGAGGAAAGGUUUGCGUCGUGUAGUUGGAAGUUAUACCACAUCGCGUUGAUUUUUAUUUCUUUGUGGGAGGAGCGCAAAUCCAGCGACAUCUCCAAAAAAGACCAGAAAUAGAUCAUUGAAUAGGAACUUGAUGUGAUGUUUGCUUAAAAUUUUAUAUAUAUAAUUAUUGUACUUGUUCCGGAAAAUAUAAACGUUACACAGAAGCGAUAAUGCCAACGAAGAGUUUUUAUGAAAUUUUAAACUCCAAACCAACAGCGAGCUUCGAAGAGCUGCGCCGCAAUUAUAAACAAUUGAUUCUACAAUGUCAUCCCGAUAAAUUACAACAUAUUCAUAACACAGAUACCAAAACAAAAAGAAAUACAGCAAGUGCUAAUGGUGAUAAUACCACAACCAUAACUAAUAUUGCGGCGGUCAUUAUGCCUGCUGCUGUUGACCUAAAUGAAGAAAUCUCAAUUUCGACAUCUUCAGAGCAAAACAGUGAACAAUUUGUAGCCAUAAAUGAAGCUUGGAAUACGCUCAAAGACCCUGUGAAGCGAAGACACUACGAUGCCGAAUUGCUGUUGAGAAAAUUCCAAACGCACAGUAAUAUCUUUGCGCGGUUAACGCUUGACGACAUGAAACGCUGUGCCGCCACCGCAACAACAAAUAGUGGAAGUGACAGUGGCAGUGACAGUGAUAGUGAAGUUGCAUGCGAAGACGGGAUAGAGGGCAAGCCUAUUGCGGGUGACAUUUAUUGGUAUUAUACAUAUGAUUGCCGAUGUGGCGGUCAGUAUAUUGUUGAUGAGUCAGUGGACAGUGAAAUACUCAACCGCAACCAGAAGCGUACGCCGAACAGGCAUAGUGCCAGUAAAACGUCGGAAGAGCAAAAACUGACUCAACAACAAAAACAAAAUAACUCCGAUAAGAAUAUUCAAGCAGCUGCUGACAGUGGCGCAGAAAAUGCGUCUACAUCGAAAUGUGGCAACAACAGUAAAAGUGUAGGAGCUGGUGUUUAUGAAGACAUACAGGGCCCUGCUGCCGCUAAUCGCGAUGUCGACGACGGCGCCGUCGACGAUGAAGAUGGCGAGGUACUUGUCGAAUGUAGUGAAUGUUCUUUAGUGAUCGUAUUGACUUGAACGCACGAAACGUGUGCUGUCACGAAUUGGCCGAUGAAACAAUGCGACACAAAAAAUAAAUAAAUAAUUCAAUUAAACCCCAUCUACAUAUAUACAUACCUAUUUCGUAAAUAUCCACAUUGCCGGAAAACAAAUAGACGUCACCGUGGCUAAGGGAAAUCGAAAAUCGUACAGCUCCACCACCGCUGCCAUCACUAGUAAAGCCCGUAAAAUGGCAUCUACCGGCGAUAUUUGGUUACAAUGGUUCUCCUGCUGUUUCCAUCAACCACAGUCACCGACACGGCGACGUCACCAACGCCUGCAUAUCGACCGUUCGAUGAUCGGCAAUCCAACGAAUUUUGUACAUACUGGGCAUAUCGGUUCUGCCGAUGUAGAGCUCUCUACGAAUCAUUUGAAUGCAUUGCAAACACAAAUGCAGAGCAAAGGUGGCUACGAAAUGAACUCGAUACGAUUGCAGGCCUGCUGAUGUUAAUAAAUGCUGACGACGAAGCUCCUGAUACCACUAGCAGCACGGCACUUAUUGGUGGAUUUUCAAACAACAUUGACACGGGCGCUUCAUAUAUAAAUGUUAUGUACAUAUUUACAUGCAUACAUACAAUAUUUGGCCCAAUCAGCGUAGUGCAAUCAACUGAAUCUCGCGUAUACAAGCAUACAUAUUUAAAAAGAGUUUAAAAUACGCACGCAACGAUUUAUGGUAUUCAAUUAUUAUAUAAUACAUUUUAUUUUUAAUAAUGUAUGUACUGUAAUAAGACUUUAAAUUUAAAAAGUGAAGAGUUGUAAUGAAUAUUUUAACAUACUAAUUUUAAAUUUUGAUAGCAUAACAUUUACUUUACUCGGAAAAAAUUAGUUAUUAAUUUUUAGCUCCUAGCGACAUUUUCCAAAUCUGUUGCACUCGGCCCCGACAAUAAAGGAAGCCUUCAUGAAAGGGUGGCAUUUCUUAGCUUAUUUGGGUAAAUAUUGUAUAUACAACUUUUAAUAUUUUUCGCUCCAAUAACUGUGUAAUCGAAUAUUUACAUAUAUAUUAUGACAUAAAUUUUGAUAUCGCAUAAAAGUUGUAGAUGGAUAGAUGUUGUAAUAAAAUUAUUUCAUAACGAAAAGGAGCUAAUUUAUAUUCGAGUAAAGUAAGUGUCAUUAAACUGUUAUUGGUGUUUGUAGGAAUUGCAAAAAGGUGAUUACUUUCGUUUGUUCUGUUUGCAAGUCCACAAGCGCCUUUCAAUUAAUUGACUACAGUGGAUGAGUAAUUUAUUUGAUUUUUACUUACUAUAUAUAAAGUGUAAGGUGUGUGAAAAUACAUUGGGUAAAAAUGCUUUUUGAAAGUAUAUACAUAGGUAACGUAUGUUAGCGAUUAUCUAUAUGAUAUGUGCCUUUCAUUUUUUAACGAGUUAAUUUCGUUUUUUGAGAACUGAUGCAACAUGCAACAUUAUUUCGUUUGAGUUUUUUUUUUUAAUUCCUAAUAAUGACCAAAAUUAAGCUGAAAUAUAUACUUAAUAAUUUUUUUUAUUGAAAAUUUAAUGCGCACUAAUACGCAUGUACUUAAUAAUAAAAGCAUUUCAAAUCUUUUCACACUUCGAACUCCAUAACGAAAUGCGAACACAUUUAUUGCAAAUGUGGCAGCGAAUAACGAAUAAAGGGAUAACGGGUUUCGAAUUCGGAUUGUACAUUUUUACUAGAAUUUUGAAUAUUAACACAGCCAAACUUCAGCUGAAAUGAGCUGAAAGCAUUUCUUUACACAUACAAAUACAUACAUAGAUCGGACAAUGUUAAAACAUAUGAAAGCUUAUAUAUAUAAAUAGAAAAGAAAUUGCGAAAAUAGUGUUAACAGAUGAAUUGUUGAAUUUCCUAAAUGCAUUUACACGCACAAUCAAUCACAUAGAAAUAUAUACAUACUUAUGAAAAUUCAUAGUAAAUAAUACAAGCGUAUAGUACAUAUCCUCAUAUGUAACUAUUUAUAUAUAUAUAUUUAUUGUGUACUAAUUACCAUAUAAAAAGCGUAUAAAUAUUUUUCGUAUUAACGAUAAAUUUUACUUCUUACUGAAAAAAAUUGUGUAAACUUUUUUUAUAUUAUGAAAAUUUGAAUUGUAGAAAAGAUAUAAACGCAUAGUUAUAGCUGCAAAUUGUAUUAAAUUAAAUCUGAGAUUGUAUAAUAGCGAAUUGAUUUGCAUGAAAUAAGAAAAUUUUCGAAUUUUACAAAUAUACAUACAUAUGUAAAUCUUUAUAUAAUAAUUUACCGGUAACAAUUACUUUUGACCCGAAUUUGAAUUAUUUGGACUCGAAAUUAAGCAAUUAAACCAUUAAAUGUAACAUAUAAUGAGCACAAAUAAAAUGGUGAAGUAGAAUUUUUA